rnacentral:rRNA from 1 species
CCUACGUGGGGCAGCAGUGGGGAAUAUUGCACAAUGGGCGCAAGCCUGAUGCAGCCAUGCCGCGCGUAUGAAGAAGGCCUUCGGGUUGUAAAGUACUUUCAGCGGGGAGGAAGGCGAUAAGGUUAAUGACCUUGUCGAUUGACGUUACCCGCAGAAGAAGCACUGGCUAACUCCGUGCCAGCAGCCGCGGUAAUACGGAGGGUGCAAGCGUUAAUCGGAAUUACUGGGCGUAAGGCGCACGCAGGCGGUCUGUCAAGUCGGAUGUGAAAUCCCCGGGCUCAACCUGGGAACUGCAUUCGAAACUGGCAGGCUAGAGUCUUGUAGAGGGGGGUAGAAUUCCAGGUGUAGCGGUGAAAUGCGUAGAGAUCUGGAGGAAUACCGGUGGCGAAGGCGGCCCCCUGGACAAAGACUGACGCUCAGGUGCGAAAGCGUGGGGAGCAAACAGGAUUAGAUACCCCGGUAGUC